rnacentral:lncRNA from 1 species
AGGGAAUUACGAUGCCAUCCUAUGGACCAAUCAUAUCAUUCUGCAGACCAACCAUACCAUGCUGCUGACCAAUCAUAUCAUUCCUUGUCACCACUUCAGUCAGAAGCUCCCACUUACCCAGACUGCUUUGCUCCCAAAGGCGUAGAUAAUUCCCUGUACUGUAAGCCAGUGCACCAUGGGGAUUGUGAUUACCACAGGACCUGUUCUCAUCCCUGCAGUGCUCAGGGAACUGUAAUGCAUGAUCCUUGCAUUUGCUGUUCUGGAGAAAUUUGCCCUGCCUUGCUAAAGAGAAAUUUGUUGCCAAAAUGCCACAACUGUAGGUGUCACCAUCACCAAUGCAUCCGGUGUACAGGUUGCUGUCACAGUCCUCAGCAUGGUGCCCAUGAGGACAGCAGUAUGGCAUCUGGCAAUGCUUGGAAAUCCAGGAAGGCAGCCAUACAGGAAUUUCCUGUGGACAAGUGGAAGCCAAUAACAGGAAACAGGAAAACUAGUCAUUCCGGGAGGGAAAUGGCUCAUUCUAAGGCCAACUUGUCAUUGUCUGCUCCCUUCCGGCCUCACAUUGAGAACUCAGCACUGGACUUGUCAAACUACCGAGCAGUCUCUUC